GUAGAGGAGAGUUUGGAGAAGUAUUGUGGCUGGCUAGAAGACCAAGAGCAAGACCCUAGGUCACUGCAUGUUGGAGCGGGACCUGGUGGAGCAGACCCCUCUGAACUGGAGCAGACCAACCCAGGAAGGCACCUCUUGACUAUCACUGCACCUAACAGGACCUUUACUUGUGGUUCCAUGUUCACAAGGACUCUGAAUGUCUGUGGGUUAGGAAGAACCACCUGCAAAAGUAACAAGCUGCUGCGACUGCAGCCUUCAGGGUCUCCCCCACCACUCCCAUUGAACGCCUGAGCCAGAUCAGGAGGAGAAAUAAGAGGACUGCAUUGGUGCUGCAUCAGAGUGUGAACAGAGAGCCUGGUGAAUGCAUAUUGCAGACAGUUUGGAGAAGGAGAGAGGCCCUGGAGUCCCAGCAGGAAAAGGAGAGGGAGAUGCACCAGGACACAAUGGGGCUUCUCAGGCAGCAGACACAGAUGCAGCAGACUCUGGUGGACCUGCAGCUUCAACAAUCCCAGGCUCACCUCUCUCCAUAGCCCAUUGAGAACUCCAUUUUAGGACAUCUAUCUGCCCCCAUUAACAUUCCACGUGGCAUCAGAGGUUGCUGCGCUACGCUUAACACUCCACCCUGGGGGACAUUAAAGACUAUCAGAGCUUCACAUACACAGACCUGUGAAAGCCAUGGUUAGUGUAGGUGUAGCGGAAAUGGACAUUAAUGGUCUUUCCUCUUAAUAAAUUCUGCUCUCAAUUUAUUCAGUCUUAUUAAAUUUUUAAUGGGUUAGUUUUAAAAUGGUAGAGGUUUUUUUGCACUGAUGUUGUUACAGAAUAAAAUUCUAUUAUUUGGAACAUAAUUCAUCUUUAUUAGUUCAAAACAUAUGCUGCCAAGUGCUCAGCAAUGCUGAAAGUAACCAAUUGCCUGUAACUGCACAAUGUCAAACAACUCAUAGGAUCAUUUACAAACAAAAUUUAAUUAAUACAUUGAUAGUGUUGUAUUCUCUACAUGUACAGGCAAUCACCAAAGGAUGCCUACCAGAUCACAAAAGAGCACAGACAGAUAAAGCACACUACA